rnacentral:rRNA from 1 species
GAUGAACGCUGGCGGCGUGCCUAAUACAUGCAAGUCGAGCGAACAGACGAGGAGCUUGCUCCUCUGACGUUAGCGGCGGACGGGUGAGUAACACGUGGAUAACCUACCUAUAAGACUGGGAUAACUUCGGGAAACCGGAGCUAAUACCGGAUAAUAUAUUGAACCGCAUGGUUCAAUAGUGAAAGACGGUUUUGCUGUCACUUAUAGAUGGAUCCGCGCCGCAUUAGCUAGUUGGUAAGGUAACGGCUUACCAAGGCGACGAUGCGUAGCCGACCUGAGAGGGUGAUCGGCCACACUGGAACUGAGACACGGUCCAGACUCCUACGGGAGGCAGCAGUAGGGAAUCUUCCGCAAUGGGCGAAAGCCUGACGGAGCAACGCCGCGUGAGUGAUGAAGGUCUUCGGAUCGUAAAACUCUGUUAUUAGGGAAGAACAAAUGUGUAAGUAACUAUGCACGUCUUGACGGUACCUAAUCAGAAAGCCACGGCUAACUGCGUG